CGCAAUGGGCGCAAGCCUGACGGAGCAAUACCGCGUGAGGGAAGACGGCCCUUGGGUUGUAAACCUCUUUUAUCAAGGAGGAAGUUUCGACGUGUACUUGACGAAUAAGCAUCGGCUAACUCCCUGCCCCCAGCCGCGGUAAGACGGAGGAUGCAAGUGUUAUCCGGAAUCACAAGGCUUAAAGCGUCUCUAGGUGGUUUGAAAAGUCCACUGUUAAAAAUUGAGGCUUAACUUUAAAGAUGCCGUGGAAACUUUCAAACUAGAGUAUGGUAGGGGUAGAGGGAAUUUCCAGGGGAGCGGUGAAAUGCGUAGAUAUUGGAAAGACCACCGAUGGCGAAGGCUCUUUACUGGGCCCUUGCUCUCAUUUAGAGACGAAAUCUA
rnacentral:rRNA from 1 species